rnacentral:rRNA from 1 species
AACGCGAAGAACCUUACCUGGGUUUGACAUGGAUCGGGAGUGCUCAGAGAUGGGUGUGCCUCUUUUGGGGUCGGUUCACAGGUGGUGCAUGGCUGUCGUCAGCUCGUGUCGUGAGAUGUUAGGUUAAGUCCCGCAACGAGUGCAACCCUUGUUCACUGUUGCCAGCACGUUAUGGUGGGGACUCAGUGGAGACCGCCGGGGUCAACUCGGAGGAAGGUGGGGAUGACGUCAAGUCAUCAUGCCCCUUAUGUCCUGGGCUUCACGCAUGCUACAAUGGCUGGUACAGAGAGUGGCGAGCCUGUGAGGGUGAGCGAAUCUCGGAAAGCCGGUCUCAGUUCGGAUUGGGGUCUGCAACUCGACCUCAUGAAGUCGGAGUCGCUAGUAAUCGCAGAUCAGCACGA